rnacentral:rRNA from 1 species
UACGAAGGGUGCUAGCGUUGCUCGGAAUUACUGGGCGUAAAGGGUGCGUAGGCGGCCAGUUUAGUCAGAGGUGAAAGCCCAGGGCUCAACCUUGGAAUUGCCUUUGAUACUGACUGUCUUGAGUACGGGAGAGGUGUGUGGAACUCCGAGUGUGGAGGUGAAAUUCGUAGAUAUUCGGAAGAACACCAGUGGCGAAGGCGACACACUGGCCCGUUACUGACGCUGAGGCUCUAAAGCGUGGGGAGCAAACAGG